rnacentral:rRNA from 1 species
AUUGAACGCUGGCGGCAUGCUUUACACAUGCCAGUCGAACGGCAGCGCGGGCUUCGGCCUGGCGGCGAGUGGCGAACGGGUGAGUAAUGCAUCGGAACGUGCCCAGUAGUGGGGGAUAGCCCGGCGAAAGCCGGAUUAAUACCGCAUACGACCUGAGGGUGAAAGCGGGGGACCGAAAGGCCUCGCGCUAUUGGAGCGGCCGAUGGCGGAUUAGCUAGUUGGUGGGGUAAAGGCUUACCAAGGCGACGAUCCGUAGCUGGUCUGAGAGGACGACCAGCCACACUGGGACUGAGACACGGCCCAGACUCCUACGGGAGGCAGCAGUGGGGAAUUUUGGACAAUGGGGGCAACCCUGAUCCAGCCAUGCCGCGUGCGGGAAGAAGGCCUUCGGGUUGUAAACCGCUUUUGUUCGGGAAGAAAUCCUCUGGGCUAAUACCCCGGGGGGAUGACGGUACCGGAAGAAUAAGCACCGGCUAACUACGUG